rnacentral:rRNA from 1 species
AGUGAACGCUGGCGGUAGGCCUAACACAUGCAAGUCGAACGGCAGCACAGUAAGAGCUUGCUCUUACGGGUGGCGAGUGGCGGACGGGCGAGGAAUACAUCGGAAUCUACUUUUUCGUGGGGGAUAACGUAGGGAAACUUACGCUAAUACCGCAUACGACCUACGGGUGAAAGCAGGGGAUCUUCGGACCUUGCGCGAUUGAAUGAGCCGAUGUCGGAUUAGCUAGUUGGCGGGGUAAAGGCCCACCAAGGCGACGAUCCGUAGCUGGUCUGAGAGGAUGAUCAGCCACACUGGAACGGAGACACGGACCAGACUCCUACGGGAGGCAGCAGUGGGGAAUAUUGGACAAUGGGCGCAAGCCUGAUACAGCCAUACCGCGUGGGUGAAGAAGGCCUUCGGGUUGUAAAGCCCUUUUGUUGGGAAAGAAAAGCAGCAGGUUAAUACCCCGCUGUUCUGACGGUACCCAAAGAAUAAGCACCGGCUAACUUCGUG